rnacentral:rRNA from 1 species
GGGGAAUAUUGGUCAAUGGGCGCGAGCCUGAACCAGCCAAGUAGCGUGAAGGAUGACUGCCCUAUGGGUUGUAAACUUCUUUUAUAAGGGAAUAAAGUGAGGCACGUGUGCCUUAUUGUAUGUACCUUAGGAAUAAGCAUCGGCUAACUCCGCGCCAGCAGCCGCGGUAAUACGGAGGAUGCAAGCGUUAUCCGGAUUUAUUGGGUUUAAAGGGAGCGUAGGCGGACUAUUAAGUCAGCUGUGAAAGUUUGCGGCUCAACCGUAAAAUUGCAGUUGAUACUGGCAGUCUUGAGUACAGUAGAGGUGGGCGGAAUUCGUGGUGUAGCGGUGAAAUGCUUAGAUAUCACGAAGAACUCCGAUUGCGAAGGCAGCUCACUGGACUGCAACUGACACUGAUGCUCGAAAGUGUGGGUAUCAAACA